rnacentral:lncRNA from 1 species
AUCGAAUGCUGUCCCCUGGACAACAGAGCCACUGCCUGCUUGUUAAAGAGACCUGAAUUAUUGCCUGCCCAGAGCUCCCAGACCCUUGAAAGAAGCAAUGUGGUAAUUGGGGCCUUCCUUGAAGCAAAGGGCAAAGGUGAUGCAAAAAUAAUAUGACAAGAUCCAUGUCUUCAAUGAGCUACAAUCCUACUGGGACAUGAGACUGUGCUUAUAAUAUGAUGAAAGAAUAAGAAAAUUUUAAAGCUAUAACAGGCAGAGCACAAGAACAAGCAGAGCUAUAACAAGCAGAGCACAAGAAGGAAGAGUGCAGAUCCAGGACUGGGACACUUAACCAAUAAUAAUACAAAUAGUGAGUACUGUUAGUUGAUUUUCCAGGCUCCUCUUCUCACUUGUAAUGGAAUUACAAAUUAUUUUGUUGGUCAUUGACACUAACCCCAGAUUCAGAAGGAGAUUUGAUUAGAGUAGUGUGAGUAUAAUCUCAUUGCUACUUCCAUAGCAAUUGGUUUGGGGUGAAUACUGUUGGGUGACAGCAGAGGGAGAUUAUUUCAUUUCCUGUGAUCUGUGUUCAAGGAAUUAUGGUGUUUUAAUUGCUGCUAGUAGCACUUUACUUUAGGAUGAAACCUGGUACAUACAUGUAAAGCACUUUAAACAGUUCCUGGUGCAAAGUAAAUGCUUAACAUGUGUUCUUUAUUGCUAUGGUUUGAAUGUAUGUGCCCCUCCAAAAUUCAUUUGUUGGAACUUAAACCCCAAGGUGAUGGUAUUAAGAGAUGGAGCCUUUGGAAGGUGACUGAGCCAUAAGCGCUCUGCCCUCAUUGAUGGGAUUAGUGCCCUCAUAAAAGAGCUUGAGGAGCUAGUUCUCCCUUUUUGUCCUUUUGCCCUUCC